UAAUUAUCAAGCCUAAGCCUAAGCCUAAGCCUAAGCCUAAGCCUAAGCCUAAGCCUCAAGCCUAAGCCUAAGCCUAAGCCUAAGCCUAAGCCUAAGCCUAAGCC
rnacentral:precursor_RNA from 1 species